UAAAUUAUAGUUUAAUUAAAAUAUUUCAUUUACAUUGAAAAGUUAUUUAGUAAAAUUGAUUUAA
rnacentral:tRNA from 1 species